rnacentral:rRNA from 1 species
AUGACGACUAGGAACGGGCAAAUCAAGAAUUUCACUUUGAAUUCCGGACCUCAACAUCCUGCUGCUCAUGGUGUUUCACGAUCAGUAUUGGAAAUGAACGGAGAAGUGGUGGAAUGUGCGGAACCACAUACUGGAUCACUCCAGGGGAUCCGGCCGGCCGGCGCCCACCCGACUAGAGCGACUGAGAAAUUAAUCGAGUACAAAACUUAUCUUCAAGCUUUACCUUAUUUUGAUCGUUUAGACUAUGUUUCUACGAUGGCCCAAGAACACGCUCAUUCUUCAGCCGUAGAGAGACUUUUGAAUUGUGAGGUACCAUUACGAGCUCAAUAUAUAAGAGUGUUAUUCUGUGAAAUAACUCGAAUUUCAAGUCAUUCACUUGCUUCAACUACUCAUGCUAUGGAUGUGGGAGCAUCAACUUCGUUCCUUUGGGCUUUUGAGGAGCGGGAGAAAUUGUUGGAAUUCUAUGAAAGAGUCCCGGGAGCCAGGAUGCAUGCCAGUUUCAUACGACCUGGUGGAGUGGCACAAGAUCUGCCUCUUGGCUUAUGUCGAGAUAUUGAUUCCUCCACACAACAAUUUGCUUCUCGUAUCAACGAAUUAGAAGAGAUGUCAACCGGCAACCGUAUCUGGGAACAACGAUUAGUGGAUAUUGGUACUUUCACUGCACAGCAAGCAAAGGAUUGGGGAUUCAGUGGUGUAAUGUUAAGAGGUCCUGGGGUAUGCUGGGAUUCGCGAAGAGCAGCACCUUACGAUGUUCAUGACCAAUCGGAUCUUGACGUACCAGUAGGUACCAGAGGAGAUCGCUAUGAUCGUUACUUUAUCCGUAUUGAAGAGAUGCGACAAAGUGUUUGGAUCAUUGUGCAAUGUCCUAAUCAAAUGCAUAGUGGCAUGAUCAAAGACGAUGAUCGUAAACUAUGUCCUCCAUCACGAUCUCGAAUGAAACUAUCCAUGGAAUCGUGCGCCGUGUGA